UGGUCUGCUGUUCUACAAUUACUCCAUCUGUUACCACUACUUCAAGACAACUACUUCAAAACAUCAACGUCAGUGACCUCAAUAAAAAAGACAAGACGAGUGGAAUACUAUGUCUGUGUACAGUCCUCUUUCAAGUGUGGAAACCCAGUGCUGACAUAGACUUGACAGUGAGAAACUUCGACAGUGAAUAACCGCCAGAGUGGAAAACCAAUGCACUAUUGGAAACUGCCGAGUGCCAAUGCAUCACCGUUGCACCAGUGAGCCGCAGUGGACCACCAUCUAAAGAGUGCAUCACGCCGUUGACCCGUGUACAGCCUUCUGCUGCCAGUGACCAAGACUCAAAGACUCUACUCACACCACAACCCAACAGAGAGAAGACACUUCACCUGGGGGCCUGGAGGAUAAAGCUUGAAGAAAAGAAGAAGAAAAAAAACAAGCUCGAAGGAAAAAAAAGGGAAAAAAAGCUUCCACCUCCCAGAAAAAAGGAUUCAGAUGAAGGUUCUGCCUCCCCCUUCAUAUCCUCUCUUGACAUUUAGGAUCCUUUUAGCUGCUCUCCAUGUCUAGAAACUGUCCUGAUCAGCUGCCUUGGACUGCUGAAGUGCCUUUCGUCCAAUAGAUCUUGGACUGCUGCUACUGUGGGUGGAGGAGUUCUGGACUUGGACUGUGCGUUGUCCCGGACUGCAAUUGGGUGUUGUGCCUUCAGUCGACUUUGAGUAUGAGUACUGCAAUGAACGUUUUCCUCUGCAUUAGUGACACUGUCUCUUGCUUGUAACGCAGGGUCUUGUACUGGCUUUGUUGACCACUGAAGGAACUGUGCACUGUUGUGCUUUCAGUUAGGUCUUCGGGACUGGCCUGAUGAUGUCUGCAAUGUUCAGAGAGAACCUGGAUCACCAAUCUCAGUAGAGUAGAGUAGAGCAGAGUAGAGUAUAUUAGAGUAGAGUUGUAGAGGCUUGGCUUAGGUUAGUGGUUCUGGUGUUACAGGUGCUUUGGGCGGCGGAGGCAUUGUCAUGCGCAGGGCCUGUCCUGAUGCCUGGCUGGAGGUUGCUCCACGGUUCCUUCGGCUACCUUGAGGUGGGUGGCCAACCGGGUCAGUGGAAUGCCUUGCUGCGCAGGUGGGAGGUGGUCUCGCUGUGUGGAGAAGGACGUUCACUGCAGUGCUUGUCCGGACUCAGCUGGGGGCAAGGCACCCGGUUGCAGUCUGGGGUGGCGUGUGGGCCAGCUCCGGGGCUCCACUGCCAACAGUGGCAGUGGUCCAAGAACCGUUGGGCGAAGGGUGCUUCGGCCGUCUGGGAAGGCUGUUUGGGGCAGUUGCAUGGACAUGGAAACCGGCUGAGGGAUUCCUGAGUGUCGGGAGGGGAUCUGGGGGCAGUGCCACGCCGAGCCUCCAGGGGAGAUGGGACUACCAGGACCUCCCAGACCCACAGACAGGGUUUGCUGCCGCAGCGUGUGCAUGUACACCGGAUCUCAGAAGGGAGGUGGGACUGCCAUGAUCUCCUGGAUGCACAGAAGAGAGGGGCUUCGUCAGGAGUGUAGGCGACACUGGACCACUGGAACCAGGCGAAUGACCAGGCCCUGCAGCUGAUCAAGGGCCUAAAGGCGCACAGGGAGCCAAAGGGGUCAAAGGAGAAGAGGGACCCGCAGGACAACAGGGUAUCCAAGGAGAGCCAGAGAAGAGGGGAAACUGUGGAUUUCCAGGCGCUCGAGGACGCAGUGGACAAAAGAUGUUCUACACUGGAGCUGGAAUGAACCCUGUCAGAUCCUUCGCUCCUGCUACGUUCAAGAGGAACUCCAUGAACCACUGGGUAAGAAAAAUAUAUACAAAUUAUGCAUAAAAAACAUGCUCAUAGUCUCGCAUUGUUUGUAAACUACUUUCAAUUCAGAUAUGAUGGACGUAAUGGUGUUACAUUGUUUUAGUCUUUUACAGAAUGCGCAAUGCACUGCAUGUAUUUCUCAGCUGCUCACAUGUAACUAUAAUAUGGUUUCUGUUCUUCCCUCCUCGUGCCUGCGCCCGUCGGUCCGUGUCUCCGUCCAGCCGGCUGUGCGUGCAUCCGUCUCUGCGUCCGUGCCUACGUCUGGCCGGCAGUGCGUCAGUCGGUCUGUGCGUCGGUCUGUGCUUCCGUUUGUGCUUCCGUCUCUGCCCACGUCCGUGCC